CUGAUAGCACGUCCCCCACUGGAAAAAACUUCCUUCGCUUCCUGUCAAUUGCAUUUGUGAAACAACUACAAGUGGCCCAUUUUUGGCAUGUUUUUUUCCAUGGGAACAAACUGGAGCCAGACACUGGAUGGACCCACUUGAAGCUAUUGGAAAGGCAGGCAGUGGAAUUGGGCAGGAGACACAAAUGAAGAUUCCUGACAGCGAAUCAAAGUUUAUAGGCAGGUCACACUCCUGAUCCUCAUGCUUGGAAACCAUUAGAAGAAACAUUUUGAGCGAGACAUCAACAGGCUUAUGCUCUGCCAUUGUGACUGAAAACUACCAAACAGAAGUAACAGAAGCAGUGCUGUACCCCUUCCAGAGGCAAGAUGACAUCAAUAUGCACAGAAUCUGGAAGAUUUUCUUCAGACAUUGACUGCAGGGUUAGGAGACUUCCCUGAGGAACCCCUGCAGUAAUGUCCUGGAGCUGAGAUGUCCAGCUUCCAACAACCACAGCUAUCUUCUUUUGUUCCAGACAUGAGCCCAACAAGUG